GACGAACGCUGGCGGCGUGCCUAAUACAUGCAAGUCGAACGCAGUGGGGACGGGUGAGUAACACGUGGGUAACCUCCCAUCAGAGGGGAUAACACUUGGAAACAGGUGCUAAACCGAUACUGAUGGAUGGACCCGCGGUGCAUUAGCUAGUUGGUGAGGUAACGGCUCACCAAGGCCACGAUGCAUAGGCGACCUUGGAGGUUGAUGGGUCAGACUGGGACUGAGACACGGAACAGACUCCGACGGGAGGAAGCAGGAGGGAAUGUGCUGAAAGGGACGAGAGGGUGACCGAGAAACGCCGCGUGAGUGAAGAAGGUUUUCGGAGCGGAAAACUCUGUUGUUAGAGAAGCGGUAUCUAACCAGAAAGCCACGGCUAACUACGUGACAGCAGCCGCGGUAAUAC
rnacentral:rRNA from 1 species